CAAUAGCGUAUAUUAAAGUUGUUGCAGUUAAAAAGCUCGUAGUUGGAUUUCUGUUUUGGAUGUCCGGUCCGCUCCCUCUGGGAGUGCGUACUUAUGGAUGUUCGAGGCAUUUUUUGUGAGGUCGCUUUUCUGCCAUUAAGUUGGUGGUUUUGCGGGCUUGCAUCGUUUACUGUGAAAAAAUUAGAGUGUUUAAAGCAGGCGUUUGCCCAUUUGAAUACAUUAGCAUGGAAUAAUAAGAUACGGCCUUGGUGGUCUAUUUUGUUGGUUUGCACACCAGGGUAAUGAUUAAUAGGGACAGUUGGGGGUAUUCAUAUUUCAGCGUCAGAGGUGAAAUUCUUGGAUCGCUGAAAGAUGAGCUUAGGCGAAAGCAUUUACCAAGGAUGUUUUCAUUAA
rnacentral:rRNA from 1 species